rnacentral:rRNA from 1 species
CCUACGGGAGGCAGCAGUGGGGAAUAUUGCACAAUUGGGGAAACCCUGAUGCAGCGACGCCGCGUGAAGGAAGAAGUAUUUCGGUAUGUAAACUUCUAGCAGCAGGGAAGAAAAUGACGGUACCUGACUAAGAAGCACCGGCUAACUACGUGCAAGCAGCCGCGGUAAUCCGUAGGGGGCAAGCGUUAUCCGGAUUUACUGGGUGUAAAGGGAGCGUAGGCGGUUUAGCAAGUCAGAAGUGAAAGACCGGGGUUCAACUCCGGGACUGCUUUGGAAACUGUUGAACUAGAUGGCAGGAGAGGUAAGUGGAAUUCCUAGUGUAGCGGUGAAAUGCGUAGAUAUUAGGAGGAACACCAGUGGCGAAGGCGGCUUACUGGACUGUAAAUGACGCUGAGGCUCGAAAGCGUGGGGAGCAAACAGGAUUAGAUACCCCAGUAGUC